rnacentral:rRNA from 1 species
CCGGCGAACCGGCGCACGGGUGAGUAACACGUAUGGAACCUGCCCGCAGCACGGGGGAUAAGCGGAAGAAAUUCCGUCUAAUACCGCGUAACAACGUUGGGAGGCAUCUCCCGAUGGUUUAAAGAUUUAUCGGCUGCGGAUGGCCAUGCGGCGCAUUAGCUAGUCGGCGGGGUAACGGCCCACCGAGGCGACGAUGCGUAGGGGUUCUGAGAGGAAGGUCCCCCACACUGGUACUGAGACACGGACCAGACUCCUACGGGAGGCAGCAG